AAGAUUUCUUUUAAAGAGGAAAAUUCAAGAAUAAAUGCUUUUGACUAUUGAGUAAUUUCUCUUUGUUGUUUCCUUUUCAGUUGUGUGUGAUUGGAAAUCAAUUUUGGAAGAUGCUAUUACGAAAUACCUGAAACCCUACUCUGUCUCCUAUGAUGCAACCAGUUUUCUAAUCUUCCUCCUGGAGUCCCUGGUUUAUACAAACUGAAAACUGAAGAAAGGGACAAGAACAUUCAUAUCAAGUGAUUAAAAAGCUGAACAUCAUGGGGUCCAGGUCUUUGAACUCAGAAAGCGGACACUCAGAAAAUGAAGAAGUCCAUUUCUUUGGAACAGAUGGGACUAGAAGAAACUUAAUGAAGCCCUUGAAGGUGAAUGAGACAGUCUGGGAAAGUGGAGGGAGCAAUGGAGGGCAAGGAGAAGCUCGAGGAAGCCUCACCCCCAAGCUGUGCAAGAACGUGGCUUGUCUGGAAAACACAACUAUUUCUGCAUAA
rnacentral:lncRNA from 1 species